CCACAGGAGAACCAACAACAUAAUUUAUUUUGACCAAUUUUUAAAACUUAGGUAUUUUCCGAAUGUGGCUAAGUUAACCAAAAUCGCCCUCCACUGAGCCUUAAGUAAGUUAGCAUCAACACAUUGGAUGUAACGAUUAGCUGUCUGGAACAGCCGUGAAGACUGAUCGAUGGAGAGGAAUGAGGUUUGCUGGGUGGUCCUGCCUUUUGAUCUUGCAAGGCUACUAGCUUAAACAUAAAGGAUACAUUACCUUUCAUGUUUAAUUACAAGGCUGUUUUGAUCAAAUAACAAAAGUACACUUACCAUCAAAACAAGCGUACUUGAUGUAUACGACGCCCAGUGGCCACCUGACUGCAGGAGGGUAGUCCUCUUGGAGUAUGAAGUUGCAGUGGUUCACUCCG